GACUAAUGCAUCGAUAAUAAACAGGUUAGUCGAGGUAAUAUGUACAUGCAGGUAGGAGUAAAGUGACUAAUGCAUCGAUAAUAAACAGGUUAGUCGAGGUAAUAUGUACAUGCAGGUAGGAGUACAUUACUUCCGGCGCCGACAGAGAUGGCCUCCUCGCUUCGCGUUCCUAGGAAACUAUGCAGUUUUUUGUUUUUUUACGUGUUAUUUCAUACACUAGUACCCCAGGUCAUCUUAGGUUUCUUUACAUACAGCCGAGAAGAACUACUGAAUAUAAGAUCAGCGUCAACUCACCAUCAGUACGACCAAGAAUAUGUUUUUCGCGAUGCGGAUCCUGUGUUCUGCCUUACAACCAGUGUAACCGAGUGGAUCACAUGCAGCGACCAAAAAAAAAAAAAAAACGACUCAGAAAAAGAGGGAAACGAAGCGGUCUUCUGGUCAGACUCCGGAGACGGGCACAUCGUGCAC
ensembl:lncRNA